UACGAAGGGGGCUAGCGUUGCUCGGAAUCACUGGGCGUAAAGCGCACGUAGGCGGCUUUCUAAGUCAGGGGUGAAAUCCUGGAGCUCAACUCCAGAACUGCCUUUGAUACUGGGGAGCUCGAGUCCGGAAGAGGUGAGUGGAACUCCGAGUGUAGAGGUGAAAUUCGUAGAUAUUCGGAAGAACACCAGUGGCGAAGGCGGCUCACUGGUCCGGUACUGACGCUGAGGUGGCGAAAGCGUGGGGAGCGAACAGG
rnacentral:rRNA from 1 species